rnacentral:rRNA from 1 species
AUUGAACGCUGGCGGCAUGCCUUACACAUGCAAGUCGAACGGUAACAGGUCUUCGGAUGCUGACGAGUGGCGAACGGGUGCGUAAUACAUCGGAACGUGCCCGAUCGUGGGGGAUAACGAAGCGAAAGCUUUGCUAAUACCGCAUACGAUCUACGGAUGAGAGCCGGGGACCGCAAGGCCUUGCGCGAACGGAGCGGCCGAUGGCAGAUUAGGUAGUUGGUGGGAUAAAAGCUUACCAAGCCGACGAUCUGUAGCUGGUCUGAGAGGACGACCAGCCACACUGGGACUGAGACACGGCCCAGACUCCUACGGGAGGCAGCAGUGGGGAAUUUUGGACAAUGGGCGAAAGCCUGAUCCAGCCAUGCCGCGUGCAGGAUGAAGGCCUUCGGGUUGUAAACUGCUUUUGUACGGAACGAAAAGACUCUGGUUAAUACCUGGGGUCCAUGACGGUACCGUAAGAAUAAGCACCGGCUAACUACGUG